AUUGAACGCUGGCGGCAGGCUUAACACAUGCAAGUCGAGCGAGCGGCGGACGGGUGAGUAAUGUCUGGGAAACUGCCUGAUGGAGGGGGAUAACUGAUCGAAAGAUCAGCUAAUACCGCAUACGAUUGGAGCGGCCGAUGCCCGAUUAGCUAGUUGGUGAGGUAAAGGCUCACCAAGGCGACGAUCGGUAGCUGGUCUGAGAGGACGACCGGCCACACUGGGACUGAGACACGGCCCAGACUCCUACGGGAGGCAGCAGUGGGGAAUUUUGGGCAAUGGGUGCAACCCUGAUACAGCCAUGCCGCGUGUAUGAAGAAGGCCUUAGGGUUGUAAAGUACUUUCAGCGGGGAGGCGUUACCCGCAGAAGAAGCACCGGCUAACUCCGUGCCAGCAGCCGCGGUAAUUC
rnacentral:rRNA from 1 species